GAUGAACGCUGGCGGCGUGCCUAAUACAUGCAAGUCGAGCGAACAGACGAGGAGCUUGCUCCUCUGACGUUAGCGGCGGACGGGUGAGUAACACGUGGAUAACCUACCUAUAAGACUGGGAUAACUUCGGGAAACCGGAGCUAAUACCGGAUAAUAUAUUGAACCGCAUGGUUCAAUAGUGAAAGACGGUUUUGCUGUCACUUAUAGAUGGAUCCGCGCCGCAUUAGCUAGUUGGUAAGGUAACGGCUUACCAAGGCAACGAGGCGUAGCCGACCUGAGAGGGUGAUCGGCCACACUGGAACUGAGACACGGUCCAGACUCCUACGGGAGGCAGCAGUAGGGAAUCUUCCGCAAUGGGCGAAAGCUUGACGGAGCAACGCCGCGUGAGUGAUGAAGGUCUUCGGAUCGUAAAACUCUGUUAUUAGGGAAGAACAAAUGUGUAAGUAACUAUGCACGUCUUGACGGUACCUAAUCAGAAAGCCACGGCUAGCUACGUG
rnacentral:rRNA from 1 species